rnacentral:rRNA from 1 species
CGUGAGGGGCGAACGUUGUUCGGUGUCACUGGGCUUAAAGGGCGCGUAGGUGGCUGCGUAAGUAAGGUGUGAAAGCCCUCGGCUUACCCGGGGAAUUGCGCCUUAUACUGCGUGGCUUGAGGAUCUCAGGGGAAUGGGGAACUCCAGGUGUAGCGGUGAAAUGCGCAGAUAUCUGGGGGAAGGCCGGCGGCGAAGGCGCCAUUCUGGGAGAUUCCUGACACUGAGGCGCGAAAGCGUGGGGAGCAAACAGGAUUAGAUACCCUGGUAGUCCACGCCCUAAACGAUGGAUACUAAGUAGGGGACCCUGCAAGGGGUUCCUUGCCGGAGCAAAAGCGUUAAGUAUCCCGCUGGGGAGUAUGGUCGCAAGGCUG